UGGUGAGUAACGCGUGAGGAACCUGCCUUUCGGAGGGGGACAACAGUUGGAAACGACUGCUAAUACCGCAUGAUACAUUUGGGCCGCAUGGUCUGAAUGUCAAAGAUUUAUCGCCGAAAGAUGGCCUCGCGUCUGAUUAGCUAGUUGGUGGGGUAACGGCCCACCAAGGCGACGAUCAGUAGCCGGACUGAGAGGUUGGCCGGCCACAUUGGGACUGAGAUACGGCCCAGACUCCUACGGAAGGCAGCAG
rnacentral:rRNA from 1 species